GCCUGUCCUCCUUGUUGAGAAAAUUCUCUCAAGGUAUUUACCAGCAGUAAGUUGUUUGAUCCUCUAGAAUGUCUAAUGUCAUCUUGAUGUUGGAUUAUUGUGUUACCAAGCUAACACAAGUGAUGCCAAGAAUAGCCUGAGAAAUGCAGCAGUAAGAUGGGGAUUUAUGACUGACCCACCCCUUUGCUGGCGGGUGAGAGGAUGCCAUCUCUGUUGGAAGAGGAAGAAAGGCCUGCAGAUACAAUAGAAAAGCCUUCACACAAAUCUGCUGGAGAAGUAGAUGCGGGUGAAACAGCAGGAAAAC
rnacentral:lncRNA from 1 species